AGAGAUUCCGUUUGCCCCGCCCCCUCAUUAGCUGUGUGAACUCAGGCAAUUUGCUUAAUUCUCUGAACUUUGGAGUCAUCUGUUGCAAAAUAGGGAUACUUAUAACCAACUUCUAAAAUUGCUAAUAUAUAUGAAGCACUGGACAUUCUGUCUUCACAUACUUUCCUGUUUGCUGAAAAAGUUAGAGGGAUCUUGGAGAAGGACUGUAACAACCUUAAGCAGAUAAUACAACAAUUGUCUCUGCUGUUCUGCACACGAUAUCUUCACUGGAGCAAAUGAAUAGAUUCCCAGAACCGUGGCAGCCAAGCAUAAUCCUCAAUGCCAUAACUCUUCGCUUUGAUAACUCCUUCUCCCACUUGUCUGCAAAGUGCUGCUUUACUGGCCUCAUCCCAGCAUCCACUGUAUCCCGCGGACGUGUCUCCUUCCUCUGAAUGUCAACGGAUUCAGUGCCUUCACCACUCACUUUGGGCUGAGAAUAUCUAAAGCUCACAGUACUAAUUAUGUCACUAUCAAGAGAAGCCUUAACCAAUCAGCCAAGUUUCCAGCAAGCAAUUUCUAGGAACUGCACGGUUCAAUUUGCAUAGAGACAAAAAGAAUGAAGAAAGACAAUUUGGAGAAGAACUGUUUUCAGCAAUAAUCCUACAUAUGAGAGUUUGGUGGACAAUGUACCUGCUCAAUUUGCUUCUUAAAAAUUCUCUCUGCUGAUUCAGCUGCAUCAGAGUGGAAGUUAGUAAACAACAGCAUGACGGUCCUCCUUGGAGACUCUUCCUGCUUGCAAAAGUUACACAAAAUAUUUUUCAAUACUUUGUAAUAAAGUGGGAUACAGGCAGAGCAAAUUCCCACAAUUCGUCAAAUAUAGUCAUUAAAAUUGUAAUAAGAUCUUGAGAUUUCCC
rnacentral:lncRNA from 1 species